CUCCUUCACUUUUGUGAGCGGCAAAAGGUUUUCCUCCAUUCUCCUUCGUUCAUUUGUGAAACAGCUGUGUUCUUCAUAUGGAAACUCCGAUUAAUCAUCAAUCACUUCAAAAUCUUCUACAAAAUUACGAAUACGUUUCCAUUUAUUUUCCCUUUAUACCUUCACGCCCUCUCUCUCUCUCUCUCUCCGAUUAAACUACUUUCAGUUUCUUCCAUACCUAUGAAAACCCUAAUUGACAGCCGUAUUCAAUCAAAAUUUUAGUUUCUCAUACCUAUCAAAACCCUAAUUGAAACAUCAACCAUGAUAGAGGCAGCAAAACCAGGCAGUGGUUGUGUCUAGCGGCGGCAGUGGUGGUCUAAUGUUGAUGGUGGAGGAGUCACGACAACAAUGGUUUUAUGGUACUUGAAUCUUCGUCUCAAUCAUUCCCUACGCCAUCUAAUGUUUUACAGAGAUGUUGAAAGAAGAUGCAAAUAGUGGAAAAGUGUCGUCUGAUGUACCUGCUGCACUCAAAGAAUUGAAUGAAAAUGUUGAUGAUUUUACCUUAGCAGAUUCCUCAGGUUACAAAGGAGGGUGAUGAGAAAUGGAAGCCUAUGACUGAUGAAGCCACUCUAAUAAGGGUUCAUGUUGUUCAAAACUUCAAAUCCAAUUGAGGCAAUCCAUGAACCAUUAGAAGCUGGGCUGAAACUUGCUCGAUAAGAGUGUGGAUUCACUACAUCUGAGAGGACCAACAAGCAGUUCCAGGUAUACCUUCUUCCCUCUCCUUCCCGAUUAGUUUUUAAUAUUUCACUUUAUGGGGGAUUGAUCAAAUACAGACUCAUAUAUAACCGACAUGGUUUGAUUGGAAGUAACAAGUUACAUAUGUUACUUGGUGGUCUGUCAUCGUUUGCUUCGGUAUGGCUCUCUUAAGCUUAGAAUAUGGCAUACAUACUCCUUAUAUAUGUGUGAUUUUGCAGAAACAAUAUCCGAUUGGUAUCAAGCUUUCAGUUUGAAUACAUCAACCAUUAAGCGAAACUCCUAAUAGAUUUAAUCUAUAAUACUAUAAUAAGCAUUUCCCAUGUACAAAUUUGUAAUUUUCUUCACAAUUUUAAGACGUCAUAUCAAAGGUCAGGCUUAUUUCCCCAACUUUCAUACCCUGCUCCCAAAUUUGCCCAUCUUCAAUGAAGUUUCAAUGAUUCUUCAAUGUUUCCUUUUGUUUUUUUUCAGCAAUUCAGCCUUCUCUAUUAAAUUCGAUCAUCAAUUUAUGUAAUCCAAUCGUUUCUUCUUCAAUGGCCCGUCCGUUUCUAGCAAUACCACCUAUUAAGAAGUCAUCAUUGAAAUCACGCACAAGUGUGUUGGUGGCGAUGAAGAAGCUUAUAAGACCUAACAGCCACCUCCGGCGUUGAUGGUUAGGGUUCCGACAGGGAUUACGACGAAGUUAAUGGCGGUUUUGUUUCAACUAUCUGAGGCGACUGAGAUUAUUAGGUUCAAGAGGCGAUACUUGAUGCUUACAAGGAUGAAGUUACAAACCCUAAGUAUGCUUUUAAGCACUUGCUGUUUAGUGUGACUGAGCCACAAUUUAGGGCAAAGCCUGCUGGUGUGUCAGAUAUAACGUGGGCAGAGGCAAUGGGUAAGCUAGAAGGUAUGGAGGCUUCCAACCGUGAACGUCUUUGGCCUCAACUUGUUAAGGGCUUCAAUGAUCUUUCUGAAUGUCUUAAGGUAUCUGAUAUCAUUAUGAGUAUGCUAUUACUACCGCAGAACCGGACGAUGGGAAUUGCAUAUAUGGUUAGACAGUUAGUUGAUUAAUAUUCGAUAUCGAUUUAUAUAACAUAUUUUGUUGAGAAAUAGGCAUGUUUUGACCAUGGAUAUGUAACUAUAUAAACAUGUUUGAUCAUGCAAUUAAGCAUUAUGAUCUGGAAUUUCUGUUUCCAUCUAACAUACUGACUUUAUCAUCAUUUAUUCCCACUUGAGAUUCAUUAUCUAUUUAAGCCAUAUUUAUUGCACAGUUGCAGAACACUUGGAUAUGAUACUGGGAGUUUUUUUUUCUUUGAUCUAUGGUGGAGGUGGGGAGGAUUAAUGGUUUCUGGUAUGUAAGGUGUCCGGUUAAGUGUUUAUGGUGGCUCCGUCAUCUCAGAUAGACGGCCCUUUCACUUGAUGGAUGGUCGGCCUGCAAACGUCGCAAGCAAAGUGGCUGAAUAUGUGGCUGGUUGGUGGAACCUGCUACUUGAGAUGGGGGUCUGGCUUGACUUUGAAGCCCCUUUCACUUGGCUGGUUACGUGAAUUAUACAUGGCUCACACUUAGAUAACACAUUGGAGUUGAUCGUUUAUGGUAGUGACGUAGGCAGCAUAAGACCGAGACUGGGGACAUUAGUCAACUUUUGGGUUAAGCUACUGAAUUUUUCUAGAAGUUAAAAGAACAAAUCGGCCUUUGGGUUGGCCCAUAUGUUCUUUUGAAAGGCGAUUGUAGAACUUUAGUUUAGGGUAAAUCAGAUUGGAAAGCCAAUUUCCAAAUCUAAGUUAUGUUUAUAAAUGAAUCUUAUUUGGUUUUAUUAUUUUUGUUAAAAUUAAAAUGCAUUGUGAAAUUAACUUAUGCAUUGUAAUCUAUCUCUCAAAUUUAUUUUUUACUAAAACAAUGCAGGUGCACCAUUCAACAAGAUGGCCGAGAGUGGAAGAAGAUGAAACGAUCAUUAGCAAGUGAUUGGGAUAGAAAUCUCGUGGUUGUGGUACAAUGGUCUCCAUUUUAAAGUGAAUCGGACCUUCUAAAACAAUUUGAUCAUAUGAAGGAGCAGGGUACACGCAUAAUUAUAUACAAUCAAUUAGAGCUCGAUUUCGACACCGAUAAACAUGUUUGUUUAUGUUAGCCUUGAAAUCAAUUCAACUAUGGGCAGCACAUGAUCGGUACUUCUUAAAAUUGACAUUAAAAUUUCAUCUUGCAAGAUAUUCAAAUUCGAGGUGUUAAUCGUGAUGAGAGAAAUAUAGAAAUGGCACAGCAAUAUUGACCGGUUUAUGGAUGAAUGGGUCAACUUGGGAUUUCAAUAACAGUACUGAAGGUUUCAUAUGUAAAUUUGGAGGUGUUGAGUGCUGGCAUCCGGAUGAAAGUAAAGUUCUAAAUAUUCAUCUUUCUGACAUGGGGUUAAAGGGCCGGUUUCCUCUCGCUCUCAAAACUGCACUUCGUUAACGGGCUUGGAUCUUUCAAGCAAUAAUCUUGACGGACGUAACAUUAUUCAUCCAUAAUCCCGUGUGCCAUAUUUUCCCAUGAUACACCUGUUUACUCGCUAAUCAGAAUGGACUUUAUAUGAGCAGAGGUACCUAUUGAUGCUUUGGAUUGUUCCUGCCUUUGCAAAGUUACACCAAAUGUUGCUGAGAACAGUUGUUGUGAUAUGAAUAUUGCUAAGGGAGCAAUGAUUACUGCUGACCUCAGGUGGUAAGUCAAUGUUUUUUUAGCCAAAUAAAGUGGGACUAUGGAUCUAAUAAGGAGUUGCUUGCCAGAUGGGCAGUCAAACCACCAGUUUAUUCAACAGGGAUUGCGUUGGCAAGUGUUAACCAGCCGCGAAGCGCGAGUGCUUUUUUUAUACACAUUUGUAUAUGAUUUUUUAAAUCGCUUUAAGGUCUGAAUUGUGUUCUCUCCCAGUAUUGCCGACCCCGUUGCAACGCGCGGGUUCCCCACUAUCUAACUAAAUGCAAUUGCUCACUAAAUCCAGUCCAAGCCUUUUCGUCUUCUGAUGUCAAGAAUGUUGCCUUAUCAAGAUGCUAUGGAACUCAGCAAGUUUAAUUCUUUUCUCAAGAAAUAUCUGAUCAUAAAGGUUGUUAGCCAUCUAUUAAACCUGCGAGGAGUGUUGCUCCAUCCAUACAGCACCAGUACAGUGCUCGCUCUAUCCCGCUGUCUCCACACCUCCUUAUUUGUCUUCAUCACCCAACAGUACCACUCUCCCGCUGGAAGUAACUAAUUAGAGAAUUUGAUAUGAAUGUUUGCGUUGCAACAUGCUUUGAACCCAAUAUUUUGGAUGAUCUUCAUUCAAACUAAGGAAAUUUGUUGAAACGAAAGCCUACUUUAGCUGCUAUAACUUAUAGGUCAUCCACAUGAGCUGAUUAAACCAUCUAAUGUGCGUGUAUAUAACUUCCAGUCAGAGCUUAUAUUAUGGCGAUUCAUCAAGGCAACAUAGUGGACUUUCUUCUUCAGAGAUUCGCGAAGCGGUUGACAAACGUCUUUCUAUGCAUGAUCUGACCUCAAAAGAAGCUGGAGAUAAAUACACACGAGUUUAUGAAGAUCACUAACACAAUUUACUACAAGGCAUCCCAGUGGACAUCUUCAGGUGAAAAAAGGUUGUGUAGUGAGAUGGAGGAAGAUACGGAUCACCUGCUCAUGUCAUGCUACAUCGCUUUGGGGGUUAGACAGAAGGUAAGUCUUUGGUGCAACAUCCCUUAUUUUUCAGGUACAAAGGUGAGGGAGUUGUUCAAAUUUUAUUAAGCAGAAGGCAUAUUGUAAAAUAAAAGAAAUUUGGUGCAAUGAUUGUUAUUAUGUCAACUUGGGAGAUUUGAAAAGCACGAAACGAAUUGAUAUUCUCAGGCAAACGGGUAUUAGUUGAUC